GCUGCCCCACCCACCCAGCAAAACCUCUGUGUGCUCUACCAACAUGCUUCCGUGCAUUUGAACGAUGAGGACCUGGGAGGAAGGGGACAAACCCUCUUCCCCCGCACUGCUGAGCACAGACGCAAAAAAGGGACCCUCCAUAACGAGAGCCCCCACCCAUGGAUGGAGAGGUCUGGCCCCUCACCACGUCCACUGCCCCUCCCUCUGCUCACUAUACUUCAGCCACUCUGGUCCAGAGGAAGAUAAAAUCAAGGAGGAGCCAGCCCAGCUCUGCAAACUCAGGAGAGGCAGGCUACACAUGCCACAUGCCCCUGGUGACACAUACUGGCUGUAUGGGACCCAACAAGAGAAGCCAGAGGGUGAUCUCAUAAGUCCCCUAGUGGCUUAAUUCAAUGCACAGAAGCCUUAAGUCAUGAGCAGCAGGGUCUCAACUGGACCCAACCACACUGAGUGCUGUGGCCUCGGCAUGUGAAGAGGCUGGCUGAGGAGGGUCCCUGGCAGUCUGUCUGUCUGUCUGUGGAAGUGAAGGGUCUCCUGGGAUAACACUUGGCCUAGGGGGAGAGACAGGAGGUGGGAACAGGGCCAUCAAGGCAACAUGGAAAGAGCUACUUCCCCAGGAAAAUUCUGAGGCCUCCACCAUACUCAUCAUGGCUUCUGGGGCGUGCUGAAGACUUGGCACUAUGGCACCUCACAGCCACAGGGCAACAAGGCAGCAGUGGUGCCCAGGGUGGCGGAGGCAGCAGUGGGACUGCAGGCAGCAGAGGCCUUCAGUGUCAUGGACAUGAUGGCAGCAGCCAUCCCAGAAAGUGCCUGGCCAGGUAGAGAAGGGAGAGAGAGAUGGCACAUUAGCUAGGCCUAUUCAUUUGCUUCACUCCUUGGGGACAUCAGGAAGAAAAGAGGGGAACACAGAACUUUGCUGGAGCUUCUCUAGUUGCAGAGGAUGCAGGAACAAAACCUGGAUCAUCGCCGCAUGGCCCUAACUCACAUCUGCAUCCCGCCGUGGGUACCCAGAGUCGUGGUGGAUAUCCCCUCCACUGAACAGGGAAUAUCCAUCCACUCGCACAUGCAGCGGGAGUCCGCCAUUGCUCAGAGCACCGCUUUAGCAAUAUUCCUGCAGUGCCAGCUGGCUAAUGAAAGCAACUGCUGUGCUUUGCAGGGUUAAUUUAUUCAGUGCCUGGAAUAUGCCCUAUCCUUCGUCAGCAUCAAUCGCUUCUAGCAUUGUGUUUUAAAUAUACACAGGAACCACAAAUACGACGGAUAAUUUUGCAGGCUGCUCCUGGGAUUACCUUGUCAUUACACGUUCCUUGCACAGGAGUAAGUCUACAAGGAACAGCAAGUACAGCAACUGCUGUGCGAUCUGUUUCCAGCGUGAGGGACAGAAACGGUUAUGUAACAGCACUUCCGCUGCCCCCUAUGGAUGUGCCCUUUAUGACACAGACACAUCUGACUUUCAAAAUAAAGAGGGACAGUUACCCCCGACCCUCAAAGAGCACAGCCUGAGCCAUGCCAUGAAGCCACCUCCACCUCCUCUUUGUUGGAGGAUAAGGCACACCAAGUGCUCAGGCCCCUGCUCCCUUCUGCCCACUCCUGCCAGCUGUCUUGCACUUUGACCCCAGGCACAGCAAAUGACCAGCAGCUGCAGGGAUGCUGAGUUCUAUCAUCCAGCCUCCAGGCCUGCCCAAGGCCACUCUAAGCCCAGAACAGGCUUCCCAGCCUGAACUCCUGCUUUUCACUUACCCUCUACUGUCUGGUAAACCUCAGUUCACAGCCCCUUGUCUGGGCACAGACCUGCUUCCACACCACAGUGUGUCCACAGCACCCUGGACCCAGGCUUAUCAGCAGGCCUUACACCAGACAAAGACUGUUUCCCUGUGUGACUCCCACCCCCACCUCCCUUGCCCAGAUGGUCCCUGAGUGAAGGGCUCUGUCUCAUUCCUCUGUGGUUCCACACCUGUGGGCCCAGUGUCUGGUCCACAUUAAAGACAGCCCAUUGACCUAAAGGUGAAACCUGAAACUAGAAAACCUCUAGAAGAAAACAGGAGAAAACUGUUGUGACCUCGAGUAAGGCAAAGAUUUCUUAGUUACAACACCAAAAAUAUGAGCAAUAAAAUAACUAAGAUAAAAAAACAAAAAAACCCACCUGAUUAAUGGGAUACUGUCAAAAUUUAAAACUUAUGGUCUUCAAAAGACAUUGUCAACAAAAUGAAAAGACAAGCCAUCAACUGGAAGGGAAAUAUCUGCAAAACACAAAACUGAUAAAGGACUUGAAUCUUGAAUUCUUGAAUAAUAACCAUUUUUGUUAUUA
rnacentral:lncRNA from 1 species